UUUUUAUGAGAGUUUGAUCCUGGCUCAGGAUGAACGCUGGCGGCGUGCUUAACACAUGCAAGUCGAACGAAGCAUUUGCGACAGAUUUUUUCGGAAUGAAGUUGCUUAUGACUGAGUGGCGGACGGGUGAGUAACGCGUGGGUAAC
rnacentral:rRNA from 1 species